rnacentral:rRNA from 1 species
GGCGUAACGAUUUGGGCACUGUCUCAACGAGAGACUCGGUGAAAUCAUAGUACCUGUGAAGAUGCAGGUUACCCGCGACAGGACGGAAAGACCCCGUGGAGCUUUACUGUAGCCUGAUAUUGAAAUUCGGCACAGCUUGUACAGGAUAGGUAGGAGCCUUUGAAACGUGAGCGCUAGCUUACGUGGAGGCGCUGGUGGGAUACUACCCUAGCUGUGUUGGCUUUCUAACCCGCACCACUUAUCGUGGUGGGAGACAGUGUCAGGCGGGCAGUUUGACUGGGGCGGUCGCCUCCUAAAAGGUAACGGAGGCGCUCAAAGGUUCCCUCAGAAUGGUUGGAAAUCAUUCAUAGAGUGUAAAGGCAUAAGGGAGCUUGACUGCGAGACCUACAAGUCGAGCAGGGUCGAAAGACGGACUUAGUGAUCCGGUGGUUCCGCAUGGAAGGGCCAUCGCUCAACGGAUAAAAGCUACCCCGGGGAUAACAGGCUUAUCUCCCCCAAGAGUUCACAUCGACGGGGAGGUUUGGCACCUCGAUGUCGGCUCAUCGCAUCCUGGGGCUGUAGUCGGUCCCAAGGGUUGGGCUGUUCGCCCAUUAAAGCGGUACGCGAGCUGGGUUCAGAACGUCGUGAGACAGUUCGGUCCCUAUCCGUCGUGGGCGUAGGAAAUUUGAGAGGAGCUGUCCUUAGUACGAGAGGACCGGGAUGGACAUACCUCUGGUGUACCAGUUGUCGUGCCAACGGCAUAGCUGGGUAGCUAUGUGUGGACGGGAUAAGUGCUGAAAGCAUCUAAGCAUGAAGCCCCCCUCAAGAUGAGAUUUCCCAACUUCGGUUAUAAGAUCCCUCAAAGAUGAUGAGGUUAAUAGGUUCGAGGUGGAAGCAUGGUGACAUGUGGAGCUGACGAAUACUAA